rnacentral:rRNA from 1 species
CAGUAGCCGCGGUAAUACGUAGGGUGCGAGCGUUAAUCGGAAUUACUGGGCGUAAAGCGUGCGCAGGCGGUUAUAUAAGACAGUUGUGAAAUCCCCGGGCUCAACCUGGGAACUGCAUCUGUGACUGUAUAGCUAGAGUACGGUAGAGGGGGAUGGAAUUCCGCGUGUAGCAGUGAAAUGCGUAGAUAUGCGGAGGAACACCGAUGGCGAAGGCAAUCCCCUGGACCUGUACUGACGCUCAUGCACGAAAGCGUGGGGAGCAAACAGGAUUAGAGACCCGUGUAGUCCCUGUCUCUUAUAC